UGAUGCCGGUCAUACCAGGGCUACUACACCAGAUCCCAUCAGAACUCUGCAGUUAAGCGCCCUUGGGCCGGAAUAGUACUGGGAUGGGUGACCUCCCGGGAAGUCCCGGUGCCGCAUCCA
rnacentral:rRNA from 1 species